rnacentral:rRNA from 1 species
UUUAAUAGUCGAACAGACUAGCUUACAUAGCUACUACACUAGGUCGCACCUUUAAUUCAACAUCGAGGUCACAAGAUCUUUUAUCAAUUAGGGCUCUCCAAAAGCAUUGUGCUGUUAUCCCUGAGGUAACUGCUCUUUAACUUGAUUAAGACCUUAAUUACCCUAUAAGUAUCGGUUUAUAAACUAGAUAGCUUAAUUUACCGCCCCAGUUUAAUAGAGUCGCAACAGAGAAUUUGAUUGUUUGAGUCUAAGCUCCGGCUAGAUUAGCUCUGCAGGGUCUUAUCUUCCCAUUGGUUAAGCUUGAAGUUUUGAUCAAGGCCUUAAAUUAUUUAACCCACGGGUUUACAAGUCGUCUUUCAUGAGCCCCUUCAUUCUAGACCCCAAUUAAAAGCCAAAUUAUUAUGCUACCUUUGCACAGUUAGGA